AAGAAAGUGCAAACAAAUCUCACUUGCAUUCGAGUAUUCAAAGGAGCAGUAUUUCAAUUCAGAAGUAGAGCUUGAAUAUUGAAUAUCCACAUUAGAGAUGACAGGUAUACUUCUUAUUUUGGCUUUGACAGCAGCAACAACAGUGGCUGGCAUUCGUUACGAUUGUUUAAAUAUUGACGACUUGAUAUUUCUCGGCUCCCAGUGUCUGGAUUAUGCGCCAAAUGCAGACCAACUGUUGAGACAAACUUGUGCUGAUAGAAAAAUUUCUUUUCCUAGUCUGAUUUCGUGCAAAAGUCCUACAUUACGAGGGAAUGAAACUAAUGUAAACUGCGGGACUACGUGCUUUGCAUGCACAAUUUCCAGCCUGGAUUUCGACAAUUGUACCGCAAUUGAGGGCACCAAUACGAUGCUUUGUGCAUGCAAACACGACCAAAGUGUUUACUCGCUGCGUUGCACGCAAAAUGGCUCGUUGGCAGACCCGAAAACUGGAAGCCACGAACUGGGCUGCCGCCCCGAAAUCAGGUUAAGGCAAAGCAGGCCAUACGCAUUCGGAAGAUUUGGCGAUAAUAAUUACACCAUGACUAGUACAGACCGGCCUGUUCCAAACUGGCAUACUGGAAACUCGGUCCAAAUGACAAAAUCCUCAAUCAAUCCCUGGAUGUGGGCCUUCAUCGUCGUAAUUAUCGUUGCGACUGGCUUUGCUUUGGUGUUUACCGUAAUGGUAUGCAAAAGUCAACGAGAAAAAAACGGAAUGGAGAGAAUAGAAUGAUUUCUUACUCUCCGCUAGAAAUUGAAAUGAGAUUUGUUAAUCAGGUUGUCCAGAAAUAAUUGUGUUUUUUAUCUAAGGUGAUUUAUUUCAUGGUGUUAAGUUAUAUUUA